rnacentral:rRNA from 1 species
AGUGAACGCUGGCGGUAGGCCUAACACAUGCAAGUCGAACGGCAGCACAGUAAGAGCUUGCUCUUACGGGUGGCGAGUGGCGGACGGGUGAGGAAUACAUCGGAAUCUACUUUUUCGUGGGGGAUAACGUAGGGAAACUUACGCUAAUACCGCAUACGACCUACGGGUGGAAUCAGGGGAUCUUCGGACCUUGCGCGAUUGAAUGAGCCGAUGUCGGAUUAGCUAGUUGGCGGGGUAAAGGCCCACCAAGGCGACGAUCCGUAGCUGGUCUGAGAGGAUGAUCAGCCACACUGGAACUGAGACACGGUCCAGACUCCUACGGGAGGCAGCAGUGGGAAAUAUUGGACAAUGGGCGCAAGCCUGAUCCAGCCAUACCGCGUGGGUGAAGAAGGCCUUCGGGUGGUAAAGCCCUUUUGUUGGGAAAGAAAAGCAGCAGGUUAAGACCCCGCUGUUCUGACGGUACCCAAAGAAUAAGCACCGGCUAACUUCGU